UUGUCUAAGUAUAAAUUUUGUACAAAAACCUUUGAAGUUUUCAGAAAAAGUUAAAAUCUUUUAGACAUU
rnacentral:tRNA from 1 species